rnacentral:rRNA from 1 species
UACAGAGGUCUCAAGCGUUGUUCGGAUUCAUUGGGCGUAAAGGGUGCGUAGGUGGUGGGGUAAGUCGGAUGUGAAAUCCCGGGGCUCAACCCCGGAACUGCAUUCGAUACUGCCUUGCUCGAGUACUGGAGAGGAGACUGGAAUUUACGGUGUAGCAGUGAAAUGCGUAGAUAUCGUAAGGAAGACCAGUGGCGAAGGCGGGUCUCUGGACAGUUCCUGACGCUGAGGCACGAAGGCCAGGGGAGCAAACGGG